rnacentral:piRNA from 1 species
UAGACUUUCUGUCUCUCACCUUUUGAGACAC